CGGACGGGUGAGUAAUGCUUAGGAAUCUGCCUAUUAGUGGGGGACAACAUUUCGAAAGGAAUGCUAAUACCGCAUACGUCCUACGGGAGAAAGCAGCGGAUCUUCGGACCUUGCGCUAAUAGAUGAGCCUAAGUCGGAUUAGCUAGUUGGUGGGGUAAAGGCCUACCAAGGCGACGAUCUGUAGCGGGUCUGAGAGGAUGAUCCGCCACACUGGGACUGAGACACGGCCCAGACUCCUACGGGAGGCAGCAGUGGGGAAUAUUGGACAAUGGGCGCAAGCCUGAUCCAGCCAUGCCGCGUGUGUGAAGAAGGCCUUAUGGUUGUAAAGCACUUUAAGCGAGGAGGAGGCUACUUUAGUUAAUACCUAGAGAUAGUGGACGUUACUCGCAGAAUAAGCACCGGCUAACUCUGUGCCAGCAGCCGCGGUAAUACAGAGGGUGCAAGCGUUAAUCGGAUUUACUGGGCGUAAAGCGCGCGUAGGCGGCUAAUUAAGUCAAAUGUGAAAUCCCCGAGCUUAACUUGGGAAUUGCAUUCGAUACUGGUUAGCUAGAGUGUGGGAGAGGAUGGUAGAAUUCCAGGUGUAGCGGUGAAAUGCGUAGAGAUCUGGAGGAAUACCGAUGGCGAAGGCAGCCAUCUGGCCUAACACUGACGCUGAGGUGCGAAAGCAUGGGGAGCAAACAGGAUUAGAUACCCUGGUAGUCCAUGCCGUAAACGAUGUCUACUAGCCGUUGGGGCCUUUGAGGCUUUAGUGGCGCAGCUAACGCGAUAAGUAGACCGCCUGGGGAGUACGGUCGCAAGACUAAAACUCAAAUGAAUUGACGGGGGCCCGCACAAGCGGUGGAGCAUGUGGUUUAAUUCGAUGCAACGCGAAGAACCUUACCUGGCCUUGACAUAGUAAGAACUUUCCAGAGAUGGAUUGGUGCCUUCGGGAACUUACAUACAGGUGCUGCAUGGCUGUCGUCAGCUCGUGUCGUGAGAUGUUGGGUUAAGUCCCGCAACGAGCGCAACCCUUUUCCUUAUUUGCCAGCGAGUAAUGUCGGGAACUUUAAGGAUACUGCCAGUGACAAACUGGAGGAAGGCGGAGACGACGUCAAGUCAUCAUGGCCCUUACGGCCAGGGCUACACA
rnacentral:rRNA from 1 species